CGGUUGAUCCUGCCGGACCCCACUGCUAUCGGGGUCCGACUAAGCCAUGCGAGUCGAGAGCUCUCAAGCCAACAAGAGAGUGCGGCGUAAUGCUCAGUAACACGCGGAUAACCUGCCCUCGAGACGAAGAUAACCCCGGGAAACUGGGGCUAAUCCGCGAUAGGCGAAGAGCUCUGGAAUGGGUCUUCACCCAAAAGGCGAUUAGGUUAUGCUCCUGGUCGGUGCCCAAGGAUGGGUCUGCGGCCUAUCAGGUUGUUGGUGAGGCAACGGCUCACCAAGCCUUUGACCGGUGCGGGCCGUGGGAGCGGGAGCCCGGAGAUGGGCACUGAGACAUGAAUCCAGGCCCUACGGGGCGCAGCAGUCGCGCAAACUUUGCAAUACACGAAAGUGUGACAGGGCUAUCCCGAGUGCCGUCCGCUGAGGAUGGCUUUUACUCAGUCUAGAAAGCUGGGAGAAUAAGGAGAGGGCAAGUCUGGUGUCAGCCGCCGCGGUAAUACCAGCUCUCCGAGUGGUGUGGAUGUUUAUUGGGCCUAAAGCAUCCGUAGCUGGCCAGGCCAGUCCCCUGUUAAACCCAACGAAUUAAUCGUUGGUUUGCGGGGGAUACUGCCCGGCUAGGGGACGAGAGAGGCCGACGGUAUUUUCGGGGUAGGGGUGAAAUCCUAUAAUCCCGGGAAGACCACCAGUGGCGAAGGCUGUCGGCUAGAACGCGCCCGACGGUGAGGGAUGAAAGCUGGGGGAGCGAACCGGAUUAGAUACCCGGGUAGUCCCAGCUGUAAACGAUGCAGGCUAGGUGUUUGGGCGGCCACGCGCCGCUCUAGUGCCGCAGGGAAACUGUUAAGCCUGCCGCCUGGGGAGUACGGUCGCAAGAUUGAAACUUAAAGGAAUUGGCGGGGGAGCACCACAAGGGGUGAAGCUUGCGGUUUAAUUGGAGUCAACGCCGGAAAGCUUACCGGGUUCGACAGCACUAUGAAGGUCAGAUUAAAGGUCUUGCCAGACGAGCUGAGAGGAGGUGCAUGGCCGUCGUCAGUUCGUAUCGUGAGACAUCCUGUUAAGUCAGGCAACGAGCAAGACCCGUGCCCACAGUUGCAACUGGCCUAGAGUCAGGCACACUGUGGGGACCGCCGCUGCUAAAGCGGAGGAAGGAGCGGGCUACGGUAGGUCAGUAUGCCCCGAAUCACCCGGGCUACACGCGGGCUACAAUGGUUGGGACAAUGGGUUCCGACCUCGUAAGGGGAAGGCAAUCUCGAAAGCCUGCCUUAGUUCGGAUUGAGGGCUGCAACUCGCCCUCAUGAAGCCGGAAUCCGUAGUAACCGCGUAUCAAAAUCACGCGGUGAAUACGUCCCUGCUCCUUGCACACACCGCCCGUCGUUCCACCCGAGCGACUCUUGAAUGAGGCGUAGGCUUUUGUGGCGGCGUCGAAUCUUAGUUUUGUAAGGGGGGAAAAGUCGUAACAAGGUAGCC
rnacentral:rRNA from 1 species